rnacentral:lncRNA from 1 species
AGACCUACUGACUCCCAGCCAGCAAUAUUUGUGAAGGGAAAUGGUGUUUCCCUCUAGUCCUGAAGGAAAAGUCCCAGGGAGGACUCGCACUGACUUUGUUCACAUGCCCAUCUCUAAGCCAAUCCCCAUAGGCAGGGAAAUGGGACACUUCAAUUAUCCAAGCCCGGAUCACAGUCCCACUUCGAUGGUAGGAAUUGUUAUGGGGGUUCUGUCCUACUAGAACCAAUUGUCCUGGGUUUCCCAUGAAGAGGGUUCUGUGUGAUGGACAGACAAAAACAACAGACAUCCAUUGAAAUGACUUGAGGAGAAAGGGCUGAUAUGAGGUGAUGCUUCAGCCUUGAGGCUUUUGAAGGAGGGACUAGCACUUACAAUAAAGUCACCAUGAUUCACUGGGCAGGUAUAGACUCAGCAUGUUCAGGGCAGUGGCAGUUCCAGAAUUUCUACACUUUUUCUUGGAAGAAAGAGAGCUUCCUGGAAGGAAGGUGCACAGGGCUCCCUUCAACAAAUCACCCUUGGAAUGGUCACUGGCUGAGCAGAAGUUAUUGUAAAUCCAGCCUCUAGACAAUGAGACUGCUCAAACCAAGCAAUAUUACAGAGCUCAGAGGAUCUUCCUGCCUCUUUCCACCUGCUGCCUGGGUGUCUUGAUUUCCCAAGGAAUACAGAAGGACUGCUCAGUCAACAGGCCUUGACUCCAUGUACUUUUCAGGGGAUGUAUUUGUUGUUCUCUCUGUGUUUAUGUCAUCCUGUAUGCAUGUCUGUGUGUCAAAUGCAUGUAUAUACGCAGUGAUCAUCCUAGUUCGAAGAAUGCAGCCAAACUCUCCACCUACUUGGGGAUGAUUGAAAUUCCAUCACUUAUAAAGUCAUUUCUCUUACUUAAGCAUUAUCUCCUUUUUUAAAAAUAUUUUUUUAGUUGUAGAUGGACACAAUACCUUUUAAAAUUUUAUUCAUCAAUUUUUUUUGUGGUGCUGAGCAUUGAAUCCAGUGCCUCACACGUGAUAGGCAAGCCCUCUACCACUGAGCUACAACCCCAACCCCAUUAUCUCCUUUUAAAAAUGCAAAUUCCCCAGGAAAGGAAUGUUACUUUACUUAUUUACAGUUAGUAAGAAUAAACUUUCCAGGCUUUUUUGUGAGAAAAGUUUUGAUGAGAAAUGCUGGGCUUCUUACUAAUCUAAUAACUAGAUAAUGGGAUCCUGGAAGGUGGUUUAUCUCAUUUAUAUUUGAGGCACCCACCUGGCAAGAACCUUCCAUAUGGCAGUUUCUCACCACAGGUUUUAAUGUGAAUAAACCUCAAAUUACCUCCAGAUUUCCAGUAAAGCUGUUAGGCCCAAUAUUUGGAGGGGAGGGAGAAUCAAUGUGAAGGAAUCAUGUCCAACAUUUGGGCUUAACAGGGUUCAAAUAAAGGAAUUGUUGAAGACAGGGAAUGGAAAUCCUGAAUUCAGAAGAUUCUAGAUAUUGGAGUAGGAGGCAACUGGGAAAAAAAAUUUUAAAGGUCUGAAUUAUUAGAAACUCUGAUGAAGGAAUCAACUUUUCCAUUGGAUAAGGGAUAGAGAAGUUGAAACUGGCCUGUGUUGACCGUUGGAGGCAUGUGACAUGGCUGGCAUCUGAGUCACGUCCAGCUGGUGUAGGACUCACUCAUUUUCCUCUAUGGCCUUUUGAAUCAGGACAAACCUAGUAAAUGCCUUUCUGCUUUUCCAAAAGGCAGUGUGAUACAGUGGUUAACAGCUCAAUGCAUGCUACCAGGCUGCUAAGGUAUUAAUUGGGACGUUGCCAUUUAUAGGUCCAUGACUUUGGGAAUUAUGCUGAGCUUUUCUAUGUCUCACUUUACUUACCUGCGAAAUGAAAAUGAUGGUAGUUCUCAUUGAUUUGAAGAAUUAAAUUAGAGUUAAAAUGUUGUUGAAGGUUUGGGAUAGAGUUUGGCAGACAGAAAGCACUGUAGGUUCCUUGGUGCUGAUGGUACAUCCUCUUGUACUCUUCCAGGAGUGUCUUAUUAUUCAUAAUUGUUUGUUGAGCCCUACUGUGUGUCAGGCACUACUGUAGGUCCUGGUUAUAUGGCAGUGAACAAGACAUAUCACAUCCUGGCUCUUUUGGAGUAUGUGUCUUCAAGAGCCAGAAAACUUUAGCAUCCUAUGAAAAUUUUUCAUUGAUUGCCUGUCCUUCAGUAACACAGAUUCCAAAGGACAACUAUGAAUGUCCACAGUAUUCUGAGGUUCCUGUAAAUCACCAAAGAUAGUUUAAU